AUUUGCCGUGCCUCUUUCCUUGAUUUGAUGUUAAAAAAAGGUACUGUGAUCACUUACCUGAUUUUUUUUUAUGAAGGUGCUUUCUUGCAUGGAUAGUUGUAAAAUGUGGUGUUCCUGCAGGAAGUGUCAAACACUGGAGGGUUCUAUUUAGCCAUCUUACUCCACUUCUCUCUCUAGAGUUGAUAUAUAUAUAUAUAUAUAUAUAUAGAGAGAGAGAGAGAGAGAGAGAGAUAUUAUAUAUAUAUAUAUCUCUUUUCCUGACUUCUUGUUGUAUUGAUAAGGUAGUUUUCUUUUUUCUUCUCCUGAAUUAGAAGGGAUAGCAUUUAUUUCCAUGAAUUUAGUGCUCUCCUUUGAAGUUUUAAAACCUAAUUAGCUUUAUAUUUUUC
rnacentral:lncRNA from 1 species